rnacentral:rRNA from 1 species
UACGUAGGGUGCAAGCGUUUGUCCGGAAUUAUUGGGCGUAAAGAGCUCGUAGGCGGUUUGUCGCGUCUGCUGUGAAAACUCAGGGCUUAACCCUGAGCCUGCAGUGGGUACGGGCAGACUAGAGUGUGGUAGGGGGAGAUCGGAAUUCCUGGUGUAGCGGUGGAAUGCGCAGAUAUCAGGAGGAACACCGGUGGCGAAGGCGGAUCUCUGGGCCAUAACUGACGCUGGAGGAGCGAAAGCAUGGGGAGCGAACGGG